rnacentral:rRNA from 1 species
AUAUAUGGAAGAACACCAGUGGCGAAGGCGGCUCUCUGGUCUGCAACUGACGCUGAGGCUCGAAAGCAUGGGUAGCGAACAGGAUUAGAUACCCUGGUAGUCCAUGCCGUAAACGAUGAGCGCUAGGUGUUGGGGACUUUCCGGUCCUCAGUGCCGCAGCAAACGCAUUAAGCGCUCCGCCUGGGGAGUACGACCGCAAGGUUGAAACUCAAAGGAAUUGACGGGGGCCCGCACAAGCGGUGGAGCAUGUGGUUUAAUUCGAAGCAACGCGAAGAACCUUACCAGGUCUUGACAUCCUGCGCUACACCUAGAGAUAGGUGGUUCCCUUCGGGGACGCAGAGACAGGUGGUGCAUGGCUGUCGUCAGCUCGUGUCGUGAGAUGUUGGGUUAAGUCCCGCAACGAGCGCAACCCUUGUCUUUAGUUGCCAUCAUUAAGUUGGGCACUCUAAAGAGACUGCCGGUGACAAACCGGAGGAAGGUGGGGAUGACGUCAAGUCAUCAUGCCCCUUAUGACCUGGGCUACACACGUGCUACAAUGGGCAGUACAACGAGAAGCGAACCCGCGAGGGUAAGCGGAUCUCUUAAAGCUGUUCUCAGUUCGGACUGCAGGCUGCAACUCGCCUGCACGAAGCUGGAAUCGCUAGUAAUCGCGGAUCAGCACGCCGCGGUGAAUACGUUCCCGGGCCUUGUACACACCGCCCGUCACACCAUGGAAGUCUGCAAUGCCCAAAGUCGGUGGG